rnacentral:rRNA from 1 species
CUCUUACGGGAGGCAGCAGUGGGGAAUAUUGGACAAUGGGCGCAAGCAUGAUCCAGCCAUGCCGCGUGAGUGAUGAAGGCCCUAGGGUUGUAAAGCUCUUUCACCGGUGAAGAUAAUGACGGUAACCGGAGAAGAAGCCCCGGCUAACUUCGUGCCAGCAGCCGCGGUAAUACGAAGGGGGCUAGCGUUGUUCGGAAUUACUGGGCGUAAAGCGCACGUAGGCGGAUUGUUAAGUGAGGGGUGAAAUCCCAGGGCUCAACCCUGGAACUGCCUUUCA